AGAGUUUGAUCCUGGCUCAGGAUGAACGCUAGCUACAGGCUUAACACAUGCAAGUCGAGGGGAAACGACAUCGAAAGCUUGCUUUUGAUGGGCGUCGACCGGCGCACGGGUGAGUAACGCGUAUCCAACCUGCCCAUCACUUGGGGAUAACCUUGCGAAAGUAAGACUAAUACCCAAUGAUAUCUCUAGAAGGCAUCUGAAAGAGAUUAAAGAUUUAUCGGUGAUGGAUGGGGAUGCGUCUGAUUAGCUUGUUGGCGGGGUAACGGCCACCAAAGCAACGAUCAGUAGGGGUUCUGAGAGGAAGGUCCCCANAUUGGAACUGAGACACGGUCCGAACUCAUACGGGAGCA
rnacentral:rRNA from 1 species